CUCCAAGCAAUGAUGACUUACCACCUCCUCAGAUGAACAUUACUAUGCUGAGAAGACAGUGUUGUGUGAAAGCCUGCCAGACAACCCAGACGGAGUGCCAUGAAGAGCUGUCUAAUUGCAAGACCUGCUGGCUGUGUAUUUAGAAGUUCACUACUUGAGGAUCAGAGGGAAACACAAAUUGAUACCAGUCCUAGAAAAGGAAAGGAGGAAAACCCUAACAAGAGGUGUAAAAGCCAAGGCAAGUGAACAGAGCACAAGUGGUAACAGGAGAUCAAAGGUUU